rnacentral:rRNA from 1 species
AGUGAACGCUGGCGGUAGGCCUAACACAUGCAAGUCGAACGGCAGCACAGUAAGAGCUUGCUCUUACGGGUGGCGAGUGGCGGACGGGUGAGGAAUACAUCGGAAUCUACUUUUUCGUGGGGGAUAACGUAGGGAAACUUACGCUAAUACCGCAUACGACCUACGGGUGAAAGCAGGGGAUCUUCGGACCUUGCGCGAUUGAAUGAGCCGAUGUCGGAUUAGCUAGUUGGCGGGGUAAAGGCCCACCAAGGCGACGAUCCGUAGCUGGUCUGAGAGGAUGACCGCCCACACGGGAACUGGGAACGGUUCCAGGCCCCGACGGGGGGCAGAAGUGGGGAAUUUGGGAAAAGGGGGGCAAGCCUGAUCCAGCCAUACCGGGGGGGUGAAGAAGGCCUUCGGGUUGUAAAGCCCUUUUGUUGGGAAAAAAAAGCAGCAGGUUAAUACCCCGCUGUUCUGACGGUACCAAAAGAAUAAGCCCCGGCUAACUUCGG